rnacentral:rRNA from 1 species
GACGUAGGGCGCGAGCGUUGUCCGGAUUUAUUGGGCGUAAAGAGCUCGUAGGCGGCUUGUUGCGUCGACUGUGAAAACCCGGCGCACCUACGGCCGGCUCAUGUUACGGGCAGGCUAGAGUUCGGUAGGGGAGACUGGAAUUCCUGGUGUAGCGGUGAAAUGCGCAGAUAUCAGGAGGAACACCGGUGGCGAAGGCGGGUCUCUGGGCCGAUACUGACGCUGAGGAGCGAAAGCGUGGGGAGCGAACAGG